rnacentral:rRNA from 1 species
UACGGGGGGGGCGAGCGUUAUUCGGAAUUAUUGGGCGUAAAGGGCGCGUAGGCGGCCGCGUAAGUCAAAGGUGAAAUCCCUCAGCUCAACUGAGGAACUGCCUUUGAUACUGCAUGGCUUGAGGCCGGGAGGGGGUAGCGGAAUUCCCAGUGUAGCGGUGAAAUGCGUAGAUAUUGGGAGGAACACCAGUGGCGAAGGCGGCUCGCUGGGACGGUACUGACGCUGAGGCGCGAAAGCGUGGGGAGCAAACAGG